CCUACGGGAGGCAGCAGUGGGGAAUAUUGGACAAUGGGGGCAACCCUGAUCCAGCCAUGCCGCGUGUGUGAAGAAGGCCCUCGGGUUGUAAAGCACUUUCAGUGAGGAAGAACGCCUUGUGGUUAAUACCCAUCAGGAAAGACAUCACUCACAGAAGAAGCACCGGCUAACUCCGUGCCAGCAGCCGCGGUAAUACGGAGGGUGCGAGCGUUAAUCGGAAUUACUGGGCGUAAAGCGCGCGUAGGUGGCUUGAUAAGCCGGUUGUGAAAGCCCCGGGCUCAACCUGGGAACGGCAUCCGGAACUGUCAAGCUAGAGUGCAGGAGAGGAAGGUAGAAUUCCCGGUGUAGCGGUGAAAUGCGUAGAGAUCGGGAGGAAUACCAGUGGCGAAGGCGGCCUUCUGGACUGACACUGACACUGAGGUGCGAAAGCGUGGGUAGCAAACAGGAUUAGAUACCCCGGUAGUC
rnacentral:rRNA from 1 species